rnacentral:tRNA from 1 species
ACUUAUGUAGUUUAAUAAAACACUACAUUUUCAAUGUAUAGACAAAAAAUUUUUUUUCAUAAGUA